rnacentral:rRNA from 1 species
GAUGAACGCUGGCGGCGUGCCUAAUACAUGCAAGUCGAGCGAACAGACGAGGAGCUUGCUCCUCUGACGUUAGCGGCGGACGGGUGAGUAACACGUGGAUAACCUACCUAUAAGACUGGGAUAACUUCGGGAAACCGGAGCUAAUACCGGAUAAUAUAUUGAACCGCAUGGUUCAAUAGUGAAAGACGGUUUUGCUGUCACUUAUAGAUGGAUCCGCGCCGCAUUAGCUAGUUGGUAAGGUAACGGCUUACCAAGGCAACGAUGCGUAGCCGACCUGAGAGGGUCACCGGCCACACUGGAACUGAGACACGGUCCAGACUCCUACGGGAGGCAGCAGUAGGGAAUCUUCCGCAAUGGGCGAAAGCCUGACGGAGCAACGCCGCGUGAGUGAUGAAGGUCUUCGGAUCGUAAAACUCUGUUAUUAGGGAAGAACAAAUGUGUAAGUAACUAUGCACGUCUUGACGGUACCUAAUCAGAAAGCCACGGCUAACUACGUG